ACACAGACGGGAGCCUUCUGCUAAAAUCUGAACAGUCUGGUUUCUUACUCUUUUAAACAGAACUUGGACAGAAGAGCUGACCACAAUAAAACAGAACUUCAGUGCCUUACUGUCAAUCUAAAUUCAUCAUAUGGAACCUAUCAUUCAAAUCAUGUUCCUGAGAAAAACUAAACCAGAGCAGAAGGAUUCCACAUUUCCUGACAACCUAUAUUGCGGACUGAGAUGAUGACAAAGGAGGCAACCCUUGAAGGACUAGCAUCCCUGGACAGAAGUACCUGCUUACAAACCCCCAAGUAUUGCUAUAAGCAGUUGAGGUAGCAGUUCAUGUGCCUUGAAUCCUUUACAGCUCUUGCCUGCAGAAGCACAGCUUGACCAGAAAUAGCCCUGUUUGAGCUGAUAACCUGUGUUUUUGCACAGUAGGCAAACCUCAUGCUGUCACAAGCAGCAGUGAUACAGCCUCACAUUUCGCUUCCCUUCAUCCCAAGGAGCCCUUUGCUAUUAUGCCAUUAGAGAUAAUGCAGAGCUUUGAAUUGAAACACCGCAGACACCAGUGGUGCAUGACAACUUUUCUAGCCCAUGAGCUGCCACCGUACAAUGGGACCUGCUCAGCUGCACCAGUCCACGUUGAGAGGAGAUAAUCAAUUCUGUAGAGGACAGUCUCAAGCUGUAACACCUUCCCCAGCUAAGGAGCUGAAGGAGCCUUGUGCUUCUCCUCGGAGAAGACGGAAAUGUAUCUGUCAAGAUUGCAAACGUAUAUACCCUCAGAAACCAAAAUAAAUACCCAAAAGAGUUUGAAUGUGGGAUGCAGAGUGGCACUGCUUGUGUUCUGGGAAUUGUUUGAAUUUUGGAGCACAGGAG